ensembl:lncRNA
UGAUGUUUUUAUGGUAGGGUAGCUAGAUGUGGUUUUUAUGGUAGGGUAGCUAGAUGUGGGUUUUUAUGGUAGGGUAGCUAGAUGUGGUUUUUAUGGUAGGGUAGCUAGAUGUGGUUUUUAUGGUAGGGUAGCUAGAUGUGGUUUUUUAUGGUAGGGUAGCUAGAUGUGGUUUUUAUGGUAGGGUAGCUAGAUGUGGUUUUUUAUGGUAGGGUAGCUAGAUGUGGUUUUUUAUGGUAGGGUAGCUAGAUGUGGUUUCUCUCUACUCAAUGUCUUGGUAAGUCACGGUGUUUAACAAACCUGAAAGUACUUUUUUAGGAGAGACUGGUCUGCCGUCAGACAGGCUUCGUACAGCCGCCCGAGAUGAUUUGUUUGACCGUUCCGGUGACCUAGUGAUGGACGUUAGUCCUGCUUCAGAAGCCUCAUUCCUGUACAGAGUAGUAAAAUGCCUGUUCGUAUCUCCAGAGAAGGAUGUGUGUCUGCAUUUAAACAGCCGUAGUGUAGCCUACCUAGACAAACACACGCCGUAGCGCUUUCAAGGGGUCACAUUCCAUUACGUCUGAAAGGGGUAAUCAAUACAGGCUACCGGUAGCCUACUGUCAUUUCAUAUUAUUAGACAAAAACACCCCCAGCCAAUCGGCAACAAAGAGUACCCCAUGCUCACAAGACUGGCCCAAAGGCCAGUGUGAAGGAGAGGGAUGAGGGGCAGGUAGAACCGUGCACAUGGGGCCUGUCUUGGUAAUAUGCAUCUCGCAAUGUCUUGUCUUGCAAUUCAACUCUGAAAUUCACCACAGUAGCCUAAAGUUGGCUUCUUCCUCUCUGGUUUAAUUUAAACGACACAGCUUUCCCAGGCCUUUAUAGCCUGUCGUCUUGUUACGCUAUGACACCAAACAUCAUGUUCUGUGAUAACUGCACUGGGAUUUCAAUUAUGUGGGAUGGAAAAAACACAAGGAUUUUUUAAUUAUCAUUAAGGUUCCCGACGUUGUUUUAAACAUUCACACCCCUAACACACACGUAGGCAUUUACAGCUAAUAUUACAGACCCAUACGACCGCCCAGGGGGGACUGCACAAGCUAAACUACCUGUGUGUGUGUGUGUGUGUGUGUGUAUGAGUGUGGCAGUGUCAGUAUGAUGCAGGUGAACAUGCUUUGCUACACCUAUACAAGGAGAAACAUAUGCACACCAUCUUCCCUUCAUCCUUCUUCCUCCCUCCUCCUCGCUCUCUGUCUGGGUGUAAUGUUCUCUAACCGUAGCUGUCUGACUAAUGUUUU